AUGGAUUUCCAUUAUUUAUCUUUAUUAUUACACUAUACAUUAUUAUAAAAAAACUUAACAUAAAUCUACAAGAGCCAGACAAAAAUCCUUUCUGUAUGUCAUUCAUUAUGUAUUGGUCAAUCACAGAAUUUACUGAUUGCAUCAUUAUAAACAUGAGUGAAGAGGAAAAGAGAGCUGGAGAAAGAAACACAAGUAAAUGGAAAAGACAAAUAUACCACAUUAGAUGCAAUAAAUACAAACACUUUCAGGACAGGGAAUCUAAAAAAAUAAUAGUUAAGAAUUGUAUGUACUGUAAUUAUUAAGCAGUGUGGCACUGUUGCUAUUUAAAUAAAUUGCAUUUACCGUAUAUACUCGAAUAUAAGCCGAUCCGUGUAUAAGUCUACCCCUGACUUCAGCACUUAAAAUUCGAUCUUUGACUUUUAGUUGCCGAUAUAUUAAUGCCG
rnacentral:lncRNA from 1 species